UCGCGACGCUGGCGGUGCGCCUAAUGCAUGCAAGUCGAACGGCGCCUAUUCCGACUUGUCGGAAUAGGGGUAGUGGCAAACGGCUGAGUAACACGUAAGUGACCUACCCCGAGGCGGGGGACAAUCCGGAGAAAUCCGGCCUAAUACCCCGUAAGUUCACCCCGAUACGUCGGGGUGAGGAAAGGUUCUCGCUUCGGCGAGUGCCACCUUGGGACGGGCUUGCGGCCUAUCAGGUAGUUGGCGGGGUAAUAGCCCACCAAGCCUAAGACGGGUACCCGGUGUGAGAGCACGAACGGGCAGAGGGGGACUGAGACACGGCCCCCACUCCUACGGGAGGCAGCAGCAGGGAAUCUUGCGCAAUGGGCGAAAGCCUGACGCAGCGACACCGCGUGGGGGAUGAAUGCCUUAGGGUUGUAAACCCCUUUUCUCGGGGAAGAGUAAGGACGGUACCCGGGGAAUAAGCAUCGGCUAACUACGUGCCAGCAGCCGCGGUAAUACGUAGGAUGCGAGCGUUGUCCGGAUUUACUGGGCGUAAAGGGCGAGUAGGCGGCCCGCUAAGUCUCAUGUGAAAUCUCCCGGCUUAACUGGGAGGGGUCAUGGGAAACUGGCAGGCUUGAGGGCAGUAGAGGAGAGUGGAAUUCCCGGAGUAGCGGUGAAAUGCGUAGAUACCGGGAGGAACACCCGAGGCGAAGGCGACUCUCUGGGCUGCUCCUGACGCUGAGGCGCGAAAGCAUGGGGAGCGAACCGGAUUAGAUACCCGGGUAGUCCAUGCCCUAAACGAUGGAUACUAGACAUAGGGGGUAUCGACCCCUCCUGUGUCGUAGCUAACGCGAUAAGUAUCCCGCCUGGGGAGUACGGCCGCAAGGCU
rnacentral:rRNA from 1 species